ensembl:lncRNA
UUAUAAUAACAGAAAGGGUUUGAGACCAGCAGAGGGUUGCCUACAUUCACAUUCACACUUUACACACACUGCCCCCUGGUGGUCAGGAGACAGAACGCAGCUUUAACUCAUAAAGCUUUGACUUUUCAUUUUGUUGAGAAGUUAAUGAUUUUUUGAUAUUUAAAUCCAGCCUUUAUUUGAACAGCGUUCAUCUCUGAGAGAAAACGCAGGAAUACUGAAAUAGCUCCGUGGUUGUGUGACACCGUGAUUAUGUAAUGAUGGAUUAAUCAUCUGGUGAGAAAUAAUCUGAGAUUAGCAUCGGGCCAAGCGAGGAGAGAUGUGCAGAGGAGGAAAGGGAGAAGAGAGGAAGAGGAGAGGAAGAGGAGAGGAAGAGGAGAGGAAGCCAUCGACUGCUUGACUUGCAUAAGCACCUUUAAAAGUUACAACAAUGAGAUACAUUAGAUAUUUAGCACACAAGUUAUCACUUAAUCCAAGUUUCUCCUGCACAUUAAGUUCUUCUUGCAGGAAGAAGACAAUUUUGUGCACAAUCUCCUGCAUGACAAUUUAUUGUUAAGUUAAGUGGACUUAUAAUGUUCAUAAAAAAGAUCUUUAGUGGACAAGGAGAUGUCUUUAGUGGACAAGGUGAUGUAUGUCUUUAGUGGACAAGGUGAUGUAUGUCUUUAGUGGACGAGGUGAUGUCUUUAGUGGACGAGGUGAUGUAUGUCUUUAGUGGACGAGGUGAUGCAUGUCUUUAGUGGACGAGGUGAUGUCUUUAGUGGACGAGGUGAUGUCUUUAGUGGACGAGGUGAUGUCUUUAGUGGACGA